rnacentral:lncRNA from 1 species
GGGGAGUCCGAUAGCAAUAAAAUUUGGAUCCUUUGUGUAGGAUCAACCCCACUCAAUGUUUCGGUUACUAAAGGAAAAGCUUUGCAAAACUCUUUUGGAAAAUGAACCCGUGCAUGUGUUGGAAAUCUAGCUUUAUUGCAAAAGAACCUUAGCCUAUCCUUGUUAUAUCAUGUGCAUAUACUUGAUUGUAUCCCCCUCCAUGGAUGGGGUUGGAC